UACAGGGGGUGCAAACGUUGCUCGGAAUUAUUGGGCGUAAAGCGCGCGUAGGCGGCUACUUAAGUCGGAUGUGAAAGCCCCUGGCUCAACUGGGGAACUGCACAGGAGACUGCUUGGCUUGAGUUCGGGAGAGGGAAGCGGAAUUCCGGGUGUAGCGGUGAAAUGCGUAGAUAUCAGGAGGAACACCCGUAGCGAAGGCGGCACUCUGGGCCGAUACUGACACUGAGGAGCGAAAGCGUGGGGAGCGAACAGG
rnacentral:rRNA from 1 species